rnacentral:rRNA from 1 species
AACGAACGCUGGCGGCAUGCCUAACACAUGCAAGUCGAACGAGACCUUCGGGUCUAGUGGCGCACGGGUGCGUAACGCGUGGGAACCUGCCCUUAGGUUCGGAAUAACUCCCCGAAAGGGGUGCUAAUACCGGAUAAUGUCUUCGGACCAAAGAUUUAUCGCCUUUGGAUGGGCCCGCAUUGGAUUAGCUAGUUGGUAGGGUAAAAGCCUACUAAGGCGACGAUCCAUAGCUGGUCUGAGAGGAUGAUCAGCCACACUGGGACUGAGACACGGCCCAGACUCCUACGGGAGGCAGCAGUGGGGAAUAUUGGACAAUGGGCGAAAGCCUGAUCCAGCAAUGCCGCGUGAGUGAUGAAGGCCUUAGGGUUGUAAAGCUCUUUUACCCGGGAUGAUAAUGACAGUACCGGGAGAAUAAGCUCCGGCUAACUCCGUG